ACGAAGGGUGCAAGCGUUACUCGGAAUUACUGGGCGUAAAGCGUGCGUAGGUGGUUUGUUAAGUCUGAUGUGAAAGCCCUGGGCUCAACCUGGGAAUGGCACUGGAUACUGGCAAGCUAGAGUGUGGCAGAGGGUAGUGGAAUUCCUGGUGUAGCAGUGAAAUGCGUAGAGAUCAGGAGGAACAUCCGUGGCGAAGGCGACUGCCUGGGCCAACACUGACACUGAGGCACGAAAGCGUGGGGAGCAAACAG
rnacentral:rRNA from 1 species